rnacentral:rRNA from 1 species
AUUGAACGCUGGCGGCAUGCUUUACACAUGCAAGUCGAACGGUAACAGGCCUUCGGGUGCUGACGAGUGGCGAACGGGUGAGUAAUGCAUCGGAACGUACCCAGAGGUGGGGGAUAACGCAGCGAAAGCUGUGCUAAUACCGCAUGUGAUCUGAGGAUGAAAGCGGGGGACCGAGCAGCAAUGUUUGGCCUCGCGCCUUUGGAGCGGCCGAUGUCGGAUUAGCUAGUUGGUGGGGUAAAGGCCUACCAAGGCGACGAUCUGUAGCUGGUCUGAGAGGACGACCAGCCACACUGGGACUGAGACACGGCCCAGACUCCUACGGGAGGCAGCAAUGGGGAAUUUUGGACAAUGGGCGCAAGCCUGAUCCAGCAAUGCCGCGUGCGGGAAGAAGGCCUUCGGGUUGUAAACCGCUUUUGGCAGGAACGAAACGGUGUCCGCUAAUACCGGGCGCUAAUGACGGUACCUGCAGAAUAAGCACCGGCUAACUACGUG